rfam:Schistosoma haematobium scaffold1495_34, whole genome shotgun sequence.
GCACUGCUGAAGAGUCCCAUACUAGGACGAAACGGCCGUCCAAUCC